rnacentral:rRNA from 1 species
GACGUAGGGGGCCAGCGUUGCUCGGAAUUACUGGGCGUAAAGGGUUCGUAGGCGGUGCGGCAAGUCGGGGGUGAAAUCUCUGGGCUUAACUCAGGGGCUGCUUCCGAAACUGCCGUGCUUGAGUGCGGGAGAGGCGAGUGGAAUUGCAGGUGUAGCGGUGAAAUGCGCAGAUAUCAGGAGGAACACCAAUGGCGAAGGCAGCUCGCUGGGACGUGACUGACGCUGAGACGCGAAAGCGUGGGGAGCAAACAGG